rnacentral:rRNA from 1 species
UAGGGAAUCUUCGGCAAUGGACGAAAGUCUGACCGAGCAACGCCGCGUGAGUGAAGAAGGUUUUCGGAUCGUAAAACUCUGUUGUUAGAGAAGAACAAGGACGUUAGUAACUGAACGUCCCCUGACGGUAUCUAACCAGAAAGCCACGGCUAACUACGUGCCAGCAGCCGCGGUAAUACGUAGGUGGCAAGCGUUGUCCGGAAUUAUUGGGCGUAAAGCGAGCGCAGGCGGUUUUUUAAGUCAGAUGUGAAAGCCCCGGGCUCAACCGGGGAGGGUCAUUGGAAACUUGGAGACUUGAGUUCAGAAGAGGAGAGUGAAAUUCCAUGUGUAGCGGUGAAAUGCGUAGAUAUAGGGAGGAACACCAGUGGCGAAGGCGGCUCUCUGGUCUGAAACUGACGCUGAGGCUCGAAAGCGUGGGGAGCAAACAGG